UUGCAAACUCGAUCACUGGCUCUGCAUGACGUUGCAGAAGCAAGGGGAACCAGGUUUGCUAAAGUAAUUGUGGUGAUAGAAGCUUAUUUGCCUUGGAAUUGAAUUGACAUUUUUGAGGCACCUCAUUCUGUCCUAAGACAAGA
rnacentral:snoRNA from 1 species